GGUGGAUAUGGUUAAUUAAUAUCAUUUCAUUAGGGCCAUUAAAUGAAACUUUUUCCAGGGAUAUUUUCUUGGCAACCCUGUAACAGAUCCAGUUCUUGAUAUGCUCAGCCAAUCGAUGGGUCUAUUAUAUCAGUUGAACUUUAUGGAGGGCUUUUUGCUCAGUUGUAUAUCUAUCAUUGAUGUGCAGUUCAUGUUUCAAGUAAUGGUACUUGGCUGGUUUUAAGAGAGGGAGAAUUUGCACCCAAAACUUGUUGGAACUGUGCUUGCAUGCUCUAUACUUCUGUGGGGAAAUAGGUGGGUAGUUGAACAUGAGAAGUUGUCCUUAGGAUUGACAGAUGGAGUUUUGCAAGGCUUGCUGCCUCAGCUGAAGUGUUGGGCAGUAGAUCUUUUUGGGUGUUCUUGUAUGGCUGUUUUGACUACUGAGGAAGCCAUGGUUGUGAAGAUGAACAAAUUGGGCUGGGAAGAUUUUCAAGAGCACAUGAGUAGGCUUGGGAGAUUGAUAAAAACUUUGGCUCUGGUCCUUCGACAGUGCCGUUUCCUUGGAUCAUAGAAAUUACACAUUCUAUUUUCUUUUUCUGGGUUAAUGAGUGAUAGUGAUUUACCAAAGAAAGAGAAAGCAAAGGCUCCAGUAGAAGCCCCUUCCUAACACUAAAAAGUUUCACUGGCAACUUCAUAGGGAGGACCUGUGACACAAGAUAUGAUCAAAAUUCUCUUACAAAUGGAUCAGAAAUUUACAUGCCUUUCUAUGUUCCCUCGCAAAUGGAGAAGCAGAGACGCAUAGAACUUGUGAGAGGCGCAGGUGUUUGAAGCAUUUGAAUUCCUUGAAAGUGAAUCUCAACAGUUAAGAUUCAGGAAGAGGUGGAGAUUGAAGCUAAGAUGGUAGCGCAUAGAGGAAAGCUUUCAUUGACGAUAGUAGAGUUUAGGAGGAAGAAGGAUGGAGUUAUGGUAGCUUUGGGUAAGCUAUGGUUUUCUCAAGUCAACGCCAUUCCAGGUUUCCCAAGAACUAAGCUUUGAUUUCGACCAUCAAAAUUAACUUCAAACUUCAAACAGGGAAGAGAAGUCAAUUAUCAAUAUUUUCUUCAAAUUCUGAAAUUUUCAAGCUAUUUUAAACUUCGUUUUCGUCUUUGUAACUAACUGCUGAUUUGGUUCUUGCAAUUUAAUUCUCAGUUGCAUUCAUCCAA